GACGGAGGGUGCAAGCGUUGUUCGGAAUUACUGGGCGUAAAGGGCGCGUAGGCGGUCUGUUAAGUUCGGUGUGAAAGCCCCCGGCUUACCCGGGGAACUGCGCCGGAAACCGACAGACUCGAGUACCGGAGAGGAGGGUGGAAUUCCUGGUGUAGAGGUGAAAUUCGUAGAUAUUCGGAGGAACACCAGUGGCGAAGGCGGCUCACUGGUCCGGUACUGACGCUGAGGUGCGAAAGCGUGGGGAGCAAACAGG
rnacentral:rRNA from 1 species